rnacentral:tRNA from 1 species
GGAUUGUGGCUCAGUGGUAAAGCGCUCACCUAGCACAUAAAAGGGCCUGGGUUUGAUCCUCAGCACCA